UGGUAAGUAGUUUAAACAAAACAAAAUGAUUUCGACUCAUUAAAUUAUGACAUUCAUACUAACCAA
rnacentral:tRNA from 1 species